rnacentral:rRNA from 1 species
AUUGAACGCUGGCGGCAGGCUUAACACAUGCAAGUCGAGCGAGCGGCGGACGGGUGAGUAAUGCCUGGGAAACUGCCUGAUGGAGGGGGAUAACUACUGGAAACGGUAGCUAAUACCGCAUACCAUCAGAUGUGCCCAGAUGGGAUUAGCUAGUAGGUGGGGUAAAGGCUCACCCAGACGACGAUCCCUAGCUGGUCUGCGAGGAUGACCAGCCACACGGGAACUGGGACACGGGCCAGACUCCUACGGGAAGCAGCAGGGGGGAAUAUUGCACAAUGGGCGCAAGCCUGAUGCAGCCAUGCCGCGUGUGUGAAGAAGGCCUUCGGGUUGUAAAGCACUUUCAGCGGGGAGGCGUUACACGCAGAAGAAGCACCGGCUAACUCCGUGCCAGCAGCCGCGGUAAUAC